GCUUGUCUCAAAGAUUAAGCCAUGCAUGUCUAAGUAUAAAUAAUUCUAUACUGUGAAACUGCGAAUGGCUCAUUAUAUCAGUUAUAGUUUAUUUGAUAGUCCCUUACUACUUGGAUAACCGUAGUAACUCUAGAGCUAAUACAUGCGCAAAUUCCCGACUGCUGGAAGGGGUGUAUUUAUUAGAUAAAAAUCAACUUUGUUGGUGAAUCAUAAUAACUUCUCGGACCGCAUGGCCUCGUGCUGGCGGUGCUUCAUUCAAAUAUCUGCCCUAUCAACUGUCGAUGGUAGGAUAGAGGCCUACCAUGGUUGCAACGGGUAACGGGGAAUAAGGGUUCGAUUCCGGAGAGGGAGCCUGAGAAACGGCUACCACAUCCAAGGAAGGCAGCAGG
rnacentral:rRNA from 1 species